UUGUCAACUUUAACAUUUCAUUAUAGCCCACGAUAAUCAGAGUACAACUUUUAAACAUACACGCGUUACAACUGUACAAACCCCAAAGUCCACGUGUAUGGACAAGAACAAAAGUUUAAACACGUGUUGAGAAAAAGACAUGCAAUCUUGAAAAGCUAGCUCCGGUGACUUCAGCCAUCUUCGCCGGCGAGAUUACCCAGCCAAUACAGUGCUUCAAUCUUCUUUUCCCAACUUUAUUCACCAUUAACUGUACUCAUGUUUAUCUCUUCCGCCAUUAGCCAUGUUCUUGAGACAAAGAUCCUUGCGAACACCGAUUGUAAAUUCUGGGAAGACUUGAACAACUUUGAGCAGACCCUAUAUUGGACCAUCUCCAUAAAAGAUGCCAAUUUUACUGAAUCUCUCUGUAGCUGAUCAAGAUAAAUCCAAAAACUCAAUCUUUCUUUACGUUUGAGAAACUUUCUCCAAGAACAUAUAGAGAGGAGAAAGAAUUAUACUCAUAGAAAAGGAGAUCGAGGGUGAUCGGAAAAGAGGAGAGCUCCAACUCAGUCGCAUGGGAUAGAGAUUUGGUGACGGAAGGGGCGAAAUCCGCUAAUCGGAAUUCAAAGAUCCGCUAACUGGAAAACCUAGAUCCGCUAAUCGGAAGACAGACUAUCGAUCUGACGAUCGAACAUAGUUUACAGACAAAAAACAAAAAGAUUUAGUGACCGGCAGCAAGAGAGCCACCGGCCACUGGAAACGAAACUUUGUUUUUGUGACUCUUAGAGAGAGGUCGGAGAAAUUAUCAAGAGAGAGAGGGAUUGGCUCUUA
rnacentral:lncRNA from 1 species